ensembl:lincRNA
AUGAGGUCUCCAAUCCAAAGGGAAUCUUGCGCUUCCCGGCCCGCGGGUUUGGUUGCACGAGUCAGGAGGCACGUGUGGGUUGUACUGUGGGGAUGCCGAGAUCCUGUAGAUGCCAAUGAAGAAAACCAUAGAGGUGAAAUGUGUCCAGUGUCCAAUGUGUCCAGCACCCAAAUGUCCAGUGGGUGCUGGCAAGCUGUUUUUCACUGGCGUCAACGUUACGAGUCUCUGGCCGGAUCUGACAGAAACGAAGUAAUGAUGGGCCAGGGGAGACCUCCGGGGAAAACUGAUUGGCUGCAGCAAAGUGAAGUUGAUAGACACUACGAUGUUGAUUCUACUUGGAGCUUUCUUGUGAACAGUUUUGUCUUUUUAUUGUUCCCAAACACAAUACCAAAAUGAAAAUAACCAUUACUCCACUUACUGCCCUCAGAGGUACAGUACUUCCUGCAGAGUCCCCCUGUUGGUUUCUAACAACACUCUCGCUAUUGUAAAGCUCCCCCUUGAUUCAACACAAUUACUGCUGCUCUGCCCGCCUGCGGUGUAGUGGGGUUGCUGGUAUAUUAUGGCCCGGGUAUUUCAGUGCUCGAUGAAGCAUGUCCCCCUCCUUUGUAAAAGCACUUUGGGAUGAAAAGCACUAUAUGAAUCAGAAAGAAUUAUCAUUAGUGUAAGCAAGAGUCUUGAUAUCUCGGCAGCACUUUGCCGUGGACAGGGUUGGGCUCAGAUGGCAAAUGUUCUGUUUUGCUAUGAGAAACAAAAAUCCAAUCCCACUGUUACUAGUCCCACAGGUUGUUGUAUUCAUAUUAUGCUAUUUAUGCAUUAUGUAGAAUUCAAUACAAAAAAAAUCUGUUGAUUUAUGUAAAGGUGCGUUUCUGAUUUUCUGUUGGAUUACUGAGAGUAAGUGCCCUCCUUAAGUUUUUUAAUCUACCUGAUGUAUUUUUAUUACAAAGAUGCUGUUUUUAUAUUACAUAAGAGGUUUAUUCAAUCAUUUUAAAUACAUUGAUAAGCAUUAAAAAAGUGAGUUGCUUAGUCCCAACACUCAUUUUGUUGCUUUUUCAAUGUCUCUAAGUUUGUGUAGCAUGAAAAUCUAAUGUCGGUUUAGUUUAAAUCUAUGAGAAAUUAUAGAUUUCUUUUUAUCAGUAACAGCUGUUUUGUAGUGACUUCAUAUUUUGUAUGUCCUUUUUUAAUGCUGUUGUAUUGAUUUGUAUAUAUUGACUUUAUUGCAUGGAAACAAAAGCGAAACGAAGAUGGCAAUUUUCGGAAAAGGACUAGUUAAUUGUUAUUUCUGUAUUGAUGUAUUUGUUAUUCCACAAGAUGUAAUUUUUAAAAAAAGCCAAUUUUAUCAGAGCUGUAAUUUUUAACUAUAAAAAAAUACACAGAAAUUGUAAUUGAACCUUGUGAUAUAGGUGGGUUGUUAUGCCUACUGAUAACUUAAACCAAUCCUAACACAGUGUCUCUGAAUUAUUUUUCAUAUACUGUAUUCUAACUAAUGCAUUUUUAAAUUGAUUUCUUACCUAUAAUCUGUCCUCUGUUUUUUUUUAUGAAUAAAUAGCAGAUAGUUUUAAAGAUAAGCAGCCAAAGCCAAAAAUGUAUUUAAAACUUUUCAGUUUUUGGUCAAUUCCAUUUUUUAACAAUUCAC